GAGCUGUGUCUGGAGCUGGUUAUCAGACAGGAGGAGCUGGGUCAUCCCGAACAGAAGGUAGGUGAAUUCGUCACCUCAUUUUGUAAUUUUUAGUUUUCCUAAUUAUCUAUGUUGCUUAUUUAAUUGAUAUUAAAUGAAUGGAGCAAAUGAAUAAUUUGAGUUAUGAUUAUGUGAAAUUACCGGUUUUAUUGGUUAACAAAGAGGUUAACCGGAUAUGGGGUAAUUCGUAUGGAAUUACCGGAUUGUUUGACUAAUACAAGAGAUUAGUGCCGAUUGGAUUGAUACUGGGUGAUCAUAUGGAAUUACCGGUUGAUUGGUAACAAAAGAGAUUAGCCGGAUACUGGGUGAUUCAUAUGGAAUUACCGGAUUGAUUUUGCUAACCGAAAUGGGUUAGUCGGAUUUUUGGGUAAUAAAGAGAAUUACCGGGUUUAUUGGUUAACAAAGAGGUUAACUGGAUAAGGAGUAAUUCAUAUGGAAUUACCGGAUUGAUUGGCUAACAAAAGAGGUUAGCUGGAUGAUAGGUAAUUCGAAUGGAAUUACUGGGUCUAUUGGUAACCGAGGAAGGAAAAAAUGAAAUUUUGGGUAUCUAUAUGGAAGUGUUUAGAUGUAUUUGGUAAUUAAGAGGAAUUAGUUGGAUUUUUAAGUCCUAAAAAGAUUAUGUAAAUUAUAGGAGUAAGUUAGAUUGAAGUAGAAGUACUAAAUUUCAAAGGUUAAGAGUAAUUAUUUAAUAAUAAUGAGAAAGUUAAUUAAUAUGGUUGUUGUUGAAACAGGUAUGCCACGAGGUGAUGCAGAUCGUUAGAUGUAGGAAUUCUCCUGUUUAUGAAUUACCAUUUUGGAAUGUAAUAUUCAUGUCUUUACUUUCAAUGUAAAUCCUUUUGUGAUGCAAAAAUCAAGUAGAAUGUGUAAUAGGUAGUGGAUGUAAUAUA
rnacentral:lncRNA from 1 species